rnacentral:rRNA from 1 species
AAACCCUGAUCCAGCAAUACCGCGUGUGUGAAGAAGGCCUUCGGGUUGUAAAGCACUUUUAGCAGGAAAGAAAGCCUGUACGCUAAUAUCGUAUGGUUUUGACGUUACCUGCAGAAAAAGCACCGGCUAACUCCGUGCCAGCAGCCGCGGUAAUACGGAGGGUGCAAGCGUUAAUCGGAAUUACUGGGCGUAAAGCGCGCGUAGGCGGCUUGUUAAGUCGAAUGUGAAAUCCCCGGGCUCAACCUGGGAACUGCAUCCGAUACUGGCUGGCUAGAGUGUGGUAGAGGGAAGUGGAAUUCCAGGUGUAGCGGUGAAAUGCGUAGAUAUCUGGGGGAACAUCAGUGGCGAAGGCGGCUUCCUGGACCAACACUGACGCUGAGGCGCGAAAGCGUGGGGGAGCAAACAGGAUUAGAUACCCUGGUAGUCCACGCCGUAAACGAUGUCAACUAGCCGUAGGGAGCAUCUGGCUCUUUGUGGCGCAGCUAACGCGAUAAGUUGACCGCCUGGGGAGUACGGCCGCAAGCUA